GACGAACGCUGGCGGCGUGCUUAACACAUGCAAGUCGAACGGUAAGGCCCUUCGGGGUACACGAGUGGCGAACGGGUGAGUAACACGUGGGUGAUCUGCCCUGCACUUCGGGAUAAGCCUGGGAAACUGGGUCUAAUACCGGAUAGGACCACUGCCUGCAUGGGGGGUGGUGGAAAGCUUUUGCGGUGUGGGAUGGGCCCGCGGCCUAUCAGCUUGUUGGUGGGGUGAUGGCCUACCAAGGCGACGACGGGUAGCCGGCCUGAGAGGGUGACCAGCCACACUGGGACUGAGAUACGGCCCAGACUCCUACGGGAGGCAGCAGUGGGGAAUAUUGCACAAUGGGCGCAAGCCUGAUGCAGCGACGCCGCGUGAGGGAUGACGGCCUUCGGGUUGUAAACCUCUUUCAGCACCGACGAAGCGCAAGUGACGGUAGGUGCAGAAGAAGGACCGGCCAACUACGUGCCAGCCGCCGCGGUAA
rnacentral:rRNA from 1 species